GAGUUUGAUCGUGGCUCAGAUUGAACGCUGGCGGCAUGCCUUACACAUGCAAGUCGAACGGCAGCAUGAUCUAGCUUGCUAGAUUGAUGGCGAGUGGCGAACGGGUGAGUAAUACAUCGGAACGUGCCCUGUAGUGGGGGAUAACUAGUCGAAAGAUUAGCUAAUACCGCAUACGACCUGAGGGUGAAAGUGGGGGACCGCAAGGCCUCAUGCUAUAGGAGCGGCCGAUGUCUGAUUAGCUAGUUGGUGGGUAAAGGCCCACCAAGGCGACGAUCAGUAGCUGGUCUGAGAGGACGAUCAGCCACACUGGGACUGAGACACGGCCCAGACUCCUACGGGAGGCAGCAGUGGGGAAUUUUGGACAAUGGGCGAAAGCCUGACCUAGCAAUGCCGCGUGUGUGAAGAAGGCCUCGG
rnacentral:rRNA from 1 species